rnacentral:rRNA from 1 species
GACGGAGGGUGCUAGCGUUGUCCGGAAUCACUGGGCGUAAAGGGCGCGCAGGCGGCCCCGCCAGUCGGGCGUGAAAGCCCGGGGCUCAACCCCGGAACGGCGCCCGAGACGGCGGGGCUGGAGACCGGGAGAGGAGGGUGGAAUAGCCAGUGUAGAGGUGAAAUUCGUAGAUAUUGGCUGGAACACCGGUGGCGAAAGCGGCUCUCUGGCCCGGGUCUGACGCUGAGGCGCGAAAGCGUGGGGAGCAAACAGGAUUAGAAACCCCCGUAGUCC